rnacentral:snoRNA from 1 species
UGUAUCAGUGAUGAUAGUUUGGCUCCCUCUACUGAAACUGAUGAGGACACAGCCAUUGUUACCCAAUUUCUGUCUGAGAUACA